UACGUAGGGAGCAAGCGUUGUCCGGAAUCAUUGGGCGUAAAGCGCGCGUAGGCGGCCUUGUAAGUCCGUUGUGAAAGUCAAAGGCUCAACCUUUGAAAGCCGGUGGAUACUGCAGGGCUAGAGUCCGGAAGAGGCGAGUGGAAUUCCUGGUGUAGCGGUGGAAUGCGCAGAUAUCAGGAGGAACACCAAUAGCGAAGGCAGCUCGCUGGGACGGUACUGACGCUAAGGCGCGAAAGCGUGGGGAGCGAACAGG
rnacentral:rRNA from 1 species